UAGCUUAUAUAAAACCAAUCUAAUAUCAUUUUAUCUUUCGUCGUAAAAACUUAUGCUUUAUAAGCUAUUAUCCAAGUUGUUUAUCCAAGUAGGACUCAAUAAACAUCAAAUCACUUGGAACAUAACAUCAAAUCAAUUUUUUUCUUCAAAAAAAAUAUUACCAUCAAUUUUUUGGAGGAUCUGAAGGAGAGGAGUUCUGAUGUGUGGGUCGUUUACGGAGGAUUUGAAGGAGAGAAGACGUCGCCUUCUUCACCCACUUACUUGCAUUAGCAACCCGCAAGAACACCUUAUCCCAGACACAUUUAUACACGUAAAGGAUUGAGUAGAGAACUACUAAGGAUCCGAACACACUAAUGAUGACAAUUAUUUGAACACCGAGAGCCAUGGUGAUUUGUCAGAAAGCGGCGGAGACCUGAAAAAGGAGUGUUGGCAGGAAGCGAUGGUGAAUGGAGGCAUGAUUUGUAUGACGUUUGGCGAACAUAUAUGCAUGGUACUGAGAGUUUAAUUCUCAAACCUUUCUUUUAUUUUGCUAUUUUGUCAAUUUUUUUAUUAAAAAAUUGACAGAGAAAAGAAAUUAUAGUCCAAUGAUUCCAAUACUUGUGAGGAUACAAGUCUGACAGGCCUUUUUGUCCUCAAGUCGUUAAGCUAAGUAGAUGUUGAAUGUGUUUAUGAACGGAAACUCACCCAUUUUAGAAUGGCUAGCUGUACAAAGUCAGGACCACUGAAAAAUAAAUCAUUUUUACUCUCUCAAUGCAAAUUAUUUUGAGAAUUGCUCUUGACACAUUUGGUUAGGCUGAGA
rnacentral:lncRNA from 1 species